rnacentral:rRNA from 1 species
UACGUAGGUGGCAAGCGUUGUCCGGAUUUAUUGGGUUUAAAGGGUGCGUAGGCGGUUCUUUAAGUCAGUGGUGAAAUACAGCCGCUUAACGGCUGAGGUGCCAUUGAUACUGGGGAACUUGAGUACAGACGAGGUAGGCGGAAUUGACGGUGUAGCGGUGAAAUGCAUAGAUAUCGUCAAGAACACCGAUAGCGAAGGCAGCUUACUAGACUGUAACUGACGCUGAUGCACGAAAGUGUGGGGAUCAAACAGG